GACUGUAAUGGUCCAAUUGGUUAGAAGACACUUAUAAUUCUCAACCCGUCACGUUCAAUUCCGUCAGAUCCCCCGAUUGCUUCGCCCAGCGCGAAUGCCGCGGUGGUGUCCCAUCCGCGUAGGUAACUCGUGUUGAUUGGGAUACCUUAGGAAAUGGAGAAUACGCUUCAGGGAGGCUUUACUCAGCAGAGCAUCUCCCCCGUCGCAUGGCGUGUUGGAUCACGUUCGCUCGGGGAUUUGGACUGGUGGGUUGAGAUGGAGAUUGUCAACUCCGUUAUUCUUUUUGUCUUUUUUU
rnacentral:SRP_RNA from 1 species